CGUGAGGCAUGCUGGAGGUAUCAGAAGUGCGAAUGCUGACAUAAGUAACGAUAAAGCGGGUGAAAAGCCCGCUCGCCGGAAGACCAAGGGUUCCUGUCCAACGUUAAUCGGGGCAGGGUGAGUCGACCCCUAAGGCGAGGCCGAAAGGCGUAGUCGAUGGGAAACGGGUUAAUAUUCCCGUACUUGGUGUUACUGCGAAGGGGGGACGGAGAAGGCUAUGUUGGCCGGGCGACGGUUGUCCCGGUUUAAGCGUGUAGGUGUGUGUUCCAGGUAAAUCCGGUUCACUUUAACACUGAGGCGUGACGACGAGGCACUACGGUGCUGAAGCAACAAAUGCCCUGCUUCCAGGAAAAGCCUCUAAGCAUCAGGUAACAUCAAAUCGUACCCCAAACCGACACAGGUGGUCAGGUAGAGAAUACCAAGGCGCUUGAGAGAACUCGGGUGAAGGAACUAGGCAAAAUGGUGCCGUAACUUCGGGAGAAGGCACGCUGACACGUAGGUGAAGUGAUUUACUCAUGGAGCUGAAGUCAGUCGAAGAUACCAGCUGGCUGCAACUGUUUAUUAAAAACACAGCACUGUGCAAACACGAAAGUGGACGUAUACGGUGUGACGCCUGCCCGGUGCCGGAAGGUUAAUUGAUGGGGUCAGCGCAAGCGAAGCUCCUGAUCGAAGCCCCGGUAAACGGCGGCCGUAACUAUAACGGUCCUAAGGUAGCGAAAUUCCUUGUCGGGUAAGUUCCGACCUGCACGAAUGGCGUAAUGAUGGCCAGGCUGUCUCCACCCGAGACUCAGUGAAAUUGAACUCGCUGUGAAGAUGCAGUGUACCCGCGGCAAGACGGAAAGACCCCGUGAACCUUUACUAUAGCUUGACACUGAACAUUGAGCCUUGAUGUGUAGGAUAGGUGGGAGGCUUUGAAGUGUGGACGCCAGUCUGCAUGGAGCCGACCUUGAAAUACCACCCUUUAAUGUUUGAUGUUCUAACGUGGACCCGUUACCCGGGUUGCGGACAGUGUCUGGUGGGUAGUUUGACUGGGGCGGUCUCCUCCUAAAGAGUAACGGAGGAGCACGAAGGUUGGCUAAUCCUGGUCGGACAUCAGGAGGUUAGUGCAAUGGCAUAAGCCAGCUUGACUGCGAGCGUGACGGCGCGAGCAGGUGCGAAAGCAGGUCAUAGUGAUCCGGUGGUUCUGAAUGGAAGGGCCAUCGCUCAACGGAUAAAAGGUACUCCGGGGAUAACAGGCUGAUACCGCCCAAGAGUUCAUAUCGACGGCGGUGUUUGGCACCUCGAUGUCGGCUCAUCACAUCCUGGGGCUGAAGUAGGUCCCAAGGGUAUGGCUGUUCGCCAUUUAAAGUGGUACGCGAGCUGGGUUUAGAACGUCGUGAGACAGUUCGGUCCCUAUCUGCCGUGGGCGCUGGAGAACUGAGGGGGGCUGCUCCUAGUACGAGAGGACCGGAGUGGACGCAUCACUGGUGUUCGGGUUGUCAUGCCAAUGGCACUGCCCGGUAGCUAAAUGCGGAAGAGAUAAGUGCUGAAAGCAUCUAAGCACGAAACUUGCCCCGAGAUGAGUUCUCCCUGAGACUUAAAGUCUCCUGAAGGAACGUUGAAGACGACGACGUUGAU
rnacentral:rRNA from 1 species